AUUAAGGUAGCAAAGCCAGGCCAUGCAACAAAACUUAAAAUUUUGACACAGAUGCUCAAAUCAUCUCCUUAAUUC
rnacentral:tRNA from 1 species